CUUUGCCAUUAUCUCUGCUUCUGUGUUCUCCCUCUUCUUCCAGACUGUGUAGCAGAUGGAAACCCUUCAGAUGUUCAUGUAGGGUCAAGAGAAUAUCAAAGUGGCUCUGCAGACGAUGACUUUCAAAUAGCCAUGGGACUGGACUCCACCUGGGAAACCAGAAAAACCUUGUGGAGACCAGGCCCCAGGUCAGAACCGUCCCUGCCCAGAGUUGUGACUUACCCCAGGGAGGAGAGCGAGAUGUUACUCUUGUUCUUGACGAAUGACUACUUGGUUUUGCAUACACAUAUAAGUACCUUUUUCCCUUAAUGAAUGUGCUGCAAAAUGGAAUGAGUAUUUUUUCCUAAAUGCAUCAACCACAGAAAUUUCAGUAAAUGGAGUCUGCUCUUUUUACAAUCCUGAAUCAAAAUGUCAAACCAGCACAACUCAAUUAUGGGAAAGGAAAUAAAGCAACAUGCUGAAUACCAGCAAGUUAUUUAUGAAAUACUUCAAAUUGCCAAUGCCAUAACUACCUGUGGAAAAUGAGAACACACAAGAGCAUAAACUCAGCUGUGGGAAAAUUGACUCAGAGCAACUUGUUUGCAAAGUUUUAAAAUUAAAUUUUUCACCCCAUCUGAGUUUUAUAGACUGGUUGCACCCUUCAGUCUGUUACUGGUUUGGCUAAAAAGAUUUUUUAGGUGCAAAGAAAUGAGGGGAAGGGAAGAAAGAAUCAGAAUUCAUGCAUUUGAAUCUUAAAAAAGGUAAAGGGACUUGUUAUUUUGUCAAUACAAUAUUGAUUUGCAUUUUGCUGUUCUUAAAAAAGAUCAGUCACCCCAAAAUCCUUUCUACAGAGGAGACAAUAUUGCAGUUGAAUAAUUUUUCUUUGCAUUUUUAAGCAGAGCACCUUAUUCCAUAUUUUGAUGAGAGAUAAGGUGCAGUGACUCUAAUGUCAUGGGAGGUUGUACCUGAGUGCUUCAUAAUUGAAUGCAAAGCCAGAUAUUUCCAGUGAAAUAAGUGUCUUUAUUUAUGACAAAGGCAACAAAUUCAGAACCUCUCUACAGCUAAUGGGAGACAUUAAGUAACUCCAAGAAAUACAUUUGGCAUUAAUGCAAUACAUUGUUUUUCAAAAGUAAUAAUAACAGUUUGAGCCACAGUUGGGAAAUCAAUGACUGAAGUUAUUUGCUCUAAUGACUACAUGUACAGAUCACCUCUGAGUAAUACCGUUCUUCUAAAGGUCAAGUUAUUAGAUCCUGUAAUUUGUGAAUAUUUUUUAUUUUCUCCAUUGCUAUGGGAAGGCAGGAGCUGGGAAAGCAAAGGUCGUGAGGUCUGGUUAAAUCAUUUGAAGAGUCGGAUAAGGGAGUACGUGUGUCCUACGGACCCUGACCUCUGCACCCAAGGAUGAAUAUACUGAGCCUGAGCAGAGGGCUGUACUGGUGCCCCAUUAUGGCACCUCCACCCCAGCAGGAGAAGGGCUGGAGGCAAACAACACAUUCCUCCUCUUCCCCAUCACAUCCCUCUCUCUUCCCUGCAAAGCAGCAGAGCAGAAUUGGCUGCCUUAUCUGCAGCUGUUGGGUCCCAGCAGAGACAUGUGCUCGAAAAAGGAGUGCUCUGUGUUAAAAAGUAAUUCUGCAAGACGGAGAAGGUUCCCAGGAUUAAAGCUCCCAGUCACUAUGGAAAAUACCUCUUACAUAAAUGUUAUCUGCUUUGUGGAGAAAAAAAACCCCAAAAGAUCAUAAAGUUUCAGCAAAUCUAUGCCAGCCUUAAUGGAAAGAUGGAUGGCAUUUUCAGCUCUGUUUGUGCUCUCCCAUGCAAGACCAGCACUGGAAAAUACCCAGUGGUACCGCUGGCACGGGAUGCUGUCCUCUAGCCAGGACAAAGGUGUAGAUGGAGGAUCGAUAAGAAUUGAUGCCCUGUUUCUUCUCACUGAGCUUCCACGUUCAGAAGUGUUCUCCAGGGACUCCAGAGAAGUACAACCCAUGGCUGGAGGCUGGAGUGGGAGCAGCGGGCUAAGAGAAAAUGAUGGCCAGCUCCCACCAAGUUUGGCUCACGAAAAUUGUCCACAAUUAACGAACAAGAUCGUGUCUCCAUUUUACCACUGCUAAAAAAAGCUGCCAAAGUCCCAUCCUGAUAUUGCAAGAGAAGGCUUCCAUCUGUAAUGCCUGGGUACUGCCAUUGCCUCAUGGACACCCACCACUGACAACGGCUCUCUGGAUACCUCCCUGAUUACACCCGGCUCCUGGCUCUUGGUACCUAAAGUCUCUAGGUUUCUGGAAUUGCUGAUCACCGUUGCAGGCUUCAUCACCCCAAAGAAAUAAAGAACUUGAAGCACAAAUGGCAGCUCUGCUACCUUCUUGGAGCGUUUGGGCCAAGAUAAGUUACACUCCAGCAGAUCCUUUAAAACAACCUCACGGGUCCCAGCUGAGGCACAACCCUGAGCACAACUGUCUUCAUCUGAACUUUAGUGGAUGAGAUGCUGGGAAAUGCAAGGGAAGGCGGAAUUCUUCCUCCUCCAUCUACCAAAAGAGGAGAAGAGCUACCUGGGAGAGUGAUGAAGUGAGAAAUUGCUGACAGAGUGAAUUUCUUCUGAAUAAGAAAGUUGUACUGUAACAUGGAACACGGUGUUAUUUUGCUUUCUUGGUGUGGCGAUUGCACACACAAAUUCUGCCAGACCACCCAUCUGGGUGGGUGUGUACAGCUACAAGAACUACCUUCACACAUACAUUGCAGAGAGGAGCUGUUACUGACGGCUGAAGAAAAGGUAAGCAAGCUGCAAAACUGCUUUUAUUACAAUAUAACGCCAAAACAGAACCACCAGAACAACUCUGCUUUUCUGUUUCUACAACGUCAUGCAGCUUCUUUACCCAUCAGCAUCUUUUGUCCAGAAUUAAUCCAAAUGACACUUAAUGACACCACAUGAUGUGGCGCCAGUGGUUUUUACAUCUCGGUACAAACCCAGCACUCCACUGGCGAUCUUUUCACAGCUGCAGGAAGCAUCCUGCAGUGAAUGCUUUUGUCGUUUAAAGCCAUGUAUUCAUAAGUCUAUUUAAUUACUUAGAGUUGGUCACCAUCCCUUCUGAAGUAUAUUGCUGCUUUAUUAAAGCAGAUCAGCAGUUUGCUUAGAUCAAUAUAAACAAAGGAAAGAGAAAGCAGAGUGGUUUAGGAGCUGUGAAGCUGAGAUAAACUCCUUUCUUUCUUAAACAAUCCACUGAUCCUAAAGAGAUCAACAUAUUUCCAUAUGCUAUUAUGAUCACAUACCUAUCACUUUUUCUUUACAACCUUAGAGGCUUUGGAGGAACAGUUUUCUUCCCAAGAGGACAUAAAAUUUAGCCUUUGUAACAUCAGGUUAAAAGAAAGAGCAGGAAGAUACCGGCCUUUUGGUAAUACCCUCGUAAUUAUCAGAGCAAGAUGGCUAUAAGCCAAGAUUUGGAGUACAAUUUUCACCUCUUAAUGGAUUUUGAUUACGUCUCCUAUACAAAAUCUCUAGGUUGAGAACAGACUGCUACUGGGAGUCUGUAGUUUCUGCUAUAGACUGUAUUCACCACAUAUAAUUUAUAACAUGCUGAAAUGAGACUGGCUGGUCAUUUUUAUUUUUUUUUGACACUUCAUCACUUUGUAGGGAAAAUAGCCAAAUAGGAGAUGGUCUUUCCCAUCUAAUGCAUCUGUUACAGCAUCACCGAUACCUAGGUAAAAAAGAUAUAGGUGUGCCUGGAACAGGCACCAAACAGCAAACUGUUUGGAGACAGCCUGAAAACAUUUUAAACUGGUUUUGAUGGUGUUUUAGUGUAACAAAAGAGUCUUCUUUAAUUUGUGUUUGCCUUUUCAACCACUGGUACAAAAUUGGAUGAUACUUCAUAAACUUAUCUGUACUAACACGCUUGACUGCUCUUAUGAAAAUUGUUCAUUUUAUAAUAUUUAAACUCUGUGAGCCUCUGAGUUCUCAAGUGCUAUGAAAAAAACCUCCCUGCAACAUGCAUUUUAUAUGUGGCUUUAAUUAUCUGCAAUGUGUGUCACUUUUAUUGAGGUUGUUCCCAGGUGCCUGUUUGCUGUGUUGAGUGGAAGUUCACCAGAGGGAUUGCUGACAAUCAUUACUCCUGGUGGAAUAAAGUCUGCUCUAGUGCCGUGGGCUCGUUUGGACUGAGGAUCUGCUCAGAGGCAGCUGCUGAAAACAAGACCAUAAGCCUUAUGCCCACGGUAUGCAAGAAUGUUUUUCAUGUACUGCCAUCUGCCGUCGCAGUGUACCCAUUUCAUCACUACACUGUUCUCCUGGGGUUUCCAUUCCAGAAGCAAGCACAUCCCUUCCAAGAAGCCUGUUAAAAAUGCAGUUAAGUUGGAAGGACUGCUUUAAUUCAUACGUGCUCUGCCUGAUACAGCAUGCAAUGAGAUUCUAAAAAUUCUGCUUUCAGUUGUGGCAAUAGCCAAAUGAGUGUUGUUUUUUCUCCCAUUUAAUUUACUUCAGUAGUAAAUUUGCAUUUUUAGUCAGACAACAGCCAGAGCAUUCAUGUUCUAAAUCAGCAGUAAAUUUACAGCAAAACAUACACACAUGUAUCACAAGCUUCACAUAUAUUUAUACACACCGAAAUUAUAAAAGAUCAUGCGAGGGCAUGAAUACAUUUCCAUGUACUGCCGUACUUAUUCAGAGUGGUGGUUCAGAAUACAUAUGUUAUGGUUUGCAUAUUUAUAAGCUAUGGAUUUGCAUCCAAAAUCUACUCAGUUAGAACCUUGUUCCCAACAUCUGUAUUAUAAAAAAAUAGAACGUAGUGUUGCAGAAGCUGGUAGGAAAAUAAAACAGUUUGUGUGUAAUUGAAUAAGGGGUGAUCACAGUGCGUAAGAAAGCAAUCCUAAAGCAGUCGGGCACAGAGGUACACAGUGAUAAACCAGUUGGCAAGAUGCUGAGAACAACAUUCAGGUUAAAGGUAUUUAAAACCUCUGUGUAUGCCUUGUCUGAAAGGGAAUCUCCUGUCUUGGAUAAUUCUAUGUAAUUCAGUGGAUCCAGGCCAAUUCCUAGCUCUUUUACUUAUUUCCUCUUCAAUCUGGGGCAGUGCAAAGCUCUGCCCCUGUAGCUCAUCUGCCCAAGAAAGCUAAUUAAGCUCCUUUCUCUCCUGCCUGUUUAAUUUGCAAGAUCUAUAGGCAGAGAUGUCUCUAGGUACAUACUGCCAUACAGGCUCAUUACUGUUCUAGGCUUGGAAUCAUCUGAACACGACUUAAAUGUUUCUAGAUCUAAGCUGACAAGGGAAAAGCUUUACAUUUUCAGGGCCUAAAGCAGCAUCUCCCCCUGGACCUGGA